AGGUAUUUCAUGCUUGAAGUGCACUAUCUAAAGGGGAACCCAGUGCAAAGAGGUACCAUUGCCACCUCAGAGAGAGAGAUAUUGAGCAUUUCCGAUUUUGCAUUAGUAACCUGUAAAUUGGAGAGCUGUCCAUGCACUAAAUUCAGAUAAAUUUGCUGGAGACCACAAAGAUAAGGUUGUCUGUGUAGGCUAUGACAAUGUGAUGUUUUGGACAGAAAUCUCUGGAUGCCUGUGUUGGCCCUUAUGGUUUUCGUCACAAGUUCCAGAGUGAGCGCAAACAGUAGAGGGGAUAGUGAGGCAUUCCUGUUGCGUCCCAUUAUGAUUAGGGAAGGGUAUGAGAGGGCUUGUAUUCCCUACAUGAACUAGGUUCCCGGCCCCAGUGUUAGAAAGACGUUCCAG